ensembl:lncRNA
CCAACCACCUGAUCCACCAGUCACCUGAUCCACCAACCACCUGAUCCACCAGUCACCUGAUCCACCAACCAUCUGAUCCACCAACCACCUGAUCCACCAACCACCGGAUCCACCAGUCACCUGAUCCACUCCACUUCUUGGGAACCAGUCCAGAUCUUUCUGAAUAGAUCUGUAUGUCUGCGUUUUUGUUUGUUUUGAUUUGAUUUUAACGUGAAUCCAAUUUUAUUGUUUAUUUUGGCAGGUUUGUUUUAUGUUCUGGAUAUGCAGAGGCCUUAGUCUUUACACUCUAAACCUUUAUAUUAAAAUGCAAGAUGUGAAAUGUGGACUGUUUUGUUUGUUGGUUCUGACUUCAUGAAACGGUAGCCUAUCUCCGAAAGCACUACUUUUGACCAGGACCCAACAUAACGGAUAUAAAUUCCUCUUAACUUCUGGACAAAUUAUCCCCCUGUAGGACCUGGUCAAAGGUAGUGAACUCUGGAGGAGAUAUGAUACCAUUUGGGGUCGCAGCCUAUUGAAAUGGUACUGUUUGUUUGCUUGCUGUGGUAGACUGAAUGACUUAUCCCAUGCCAAACUACUUGGAAGGAGGUUGUUGGUUCUAAAAAAAGACAGACAGAAAGAAUGUUUAUCAUGUUGUCGAAAAGAAGCCUCUAGAAUGUCUUCUAGAAUGUUUUUUGUCACUUUGAGCAAAAAAAAUAAUGUUUUUGGAGUACUUGAAUGAAGACAGACAGAACAUACAUAUUAUUCUAUUCAGAGAUGGCAAAACAGAGCAGAAAUCCCCUCACGGCGUCUAAUUAUCAAAGCACAGACAGACUAAAUGUGACCCAGCGGGGCUGAGUUAGAUAAUGUUAACACUUAGCUGGCCGUGUCACACGAAAGUCACAAUGUUCCAUGCAGAAUUGGCCCCUAGACCUGGGUUCAAACAACAUUUAAAAUAAUUUCAAAUACUUUAUCUGGGCUUGAUUGAGCUUGCCUGGCAUAAUGGAAUAAAUAGAGGAGCUGCGAGUUUAAACCCCGCCCAUCUAUGCAGACUAAAGCAAUCACUAAAAGUAUUUGAAAGAUUUCCAAUAGUCUUUGAACCCAGGUCUGCACCCCACCACCGUGCUAUCAGCCACUGGUGUUGCCACGGGAACCUGCAACUGACUACAAGUCAGUAUUUUGUCUGAUUAUUGGAACCCAGAGCCAUGGGCAAUCAGUCUUUAGGUUCUAGAACACAGAACCAUGGGCAAUCAGUCUUUAGGUUCUAGAACACAGAACCAUGGGCAAUCAGUCUUUAGGUUCUAGAACACAGAACCAUGGGCAAUCAGUCUGUUUUUAGGCUUUCCUUGUAGCCUGGUCCCAGAUCUGUUUGCACUAUCUUACCAACUAGAACAGCUCCUGAGUCAAGAGGUCUUAACACACAGGAGGAGCAGAACAGACACAUUGAUACAAUAUUUAUAAAAAAUCUAUAGAUAUCCAUUGAUAGCCAGAACAUUGUCAAGAUGGCCGACAUAAGGAGUGCGAUCUUUCUUUUCAUUGCUUUUCACAUACAAGUAUCAUUUAUAAUUUGAAAACAAAUAUUUUGUGAAAAAUAGUAUAUACCUCAAUAACCUGAGAUCAACAGUAAUGUUCUUUGUUAUUUCCCUGACUAUUUACUGUUGUAUUCAUAAAGCCGUUGAGAUACAUUAAAUUAAUAUGAUUUAAUAUGAUUUAAUAUUUAAUAUGAUUUACC